rnacentral:rRNA from 1 species
CAGUCGCCGCGGUAAUACAGAGGGUGCGAGCGUUAAUCGGAUUUACUGGGCGUAAAGCGUGCGUAGGCGGCUUCUUAAGUCGGAUGUGAAAUCCCUGAGCUUAACUUAGGAAUUGCAUUCGAUACUGGGAAGCUAGAGUAUGGGAGAGGAUGGUAGAAUUCCAGGUGUAGCGGUGAAAUGCGUAGAGAUCUGGAGGAAUACCGAUGGCGAAGCCAGCCAUCUGGCCUAAUACUGACGCUGAGGUACGAAAGCAUGGGGAGCAAACAGGAUUAGAGACCCCGGUAGUCCCUGUCUCUUAUAU